CAACGCGCUAGCGUAUCCAGUCUGCUAUAUAUAUCUAUGGUAGGCACGUCUGGUAGCAUCUCUGGCUGCUGUUGACCUUGUUUUUGGAGUAAAACACGGUGGAAGCUGAAUUAGUGAGGAUGACUCCUGCUCCUGUCAUCUCUAAGCUCCUCACACAUCUUUACCUGCACAUGAGGAAAAUCACUCCUGUAGAAUGCAGAUGUUCAGAGGGAGAUGAUGCCACAUCUGGUCCAGCUGAUGGAAGGUCUUGAAGUUCUCUGACUGGCCUCGACUGAAGAUGGUCGUCUCACUGGAUUUAAGGUUCAGAUGCUCAGUAACAAACUCCACCAAUGAGCCAACAGGGAAGCUUUAGGUUUAUUAAAUGUUGCUAUGAAGGUUUCACUGUUUUUCUUUGUGAAUGCAAUGAGCUCCAACUGAAAGUUGAAUUAGAACUUAGAAGUAAAUCCUUCCAUCUGAAAGGAUUUAGUUGCAUUAAUAACCUCAUAACAUUCUAAUUUUUAUUCCAGUCUUGGUUGGAAAUAGAAUCUCUGUAUUGAUUCAGGUAAAAACUGAACUUCACAGCAUGUUGGAGCAAAACAACCAGAUGAAAACUGUGAUGGUGUUGGAUUGUCAGACCGUAAUGUUGCAGCUCAAAGCAGCUUUUCUAGCUCAGUUCAUUCUGACAUUCAGCUAUGAAUCAACACAGCAGAUGGUGAUCCAUGCUGUGGAAGUCUCACAUCUCCUGAUUUAAUGGAGCUGCUUUGCACUUUUUACACUGUUUAUUCACCAACUCUUUAUUUAAUAAAAGUCCCAUCGAGUUUUUAUGAGGAAUGUGAUGUUUUAAUUUCUCUGUUAAUAACUGCAGUCUAAUGGAACAGCUGGAGUUGUAACAUCUGUCCUGAUAUUGAUCAUGAAGUAUUGAUCAGAUUACUUAUGGUCAGCAGUCAUCCCUGAAGUUUUACUUUAAAAUCUUUACUUGUGUUGUGAACUUUAGUAAGAAGCAGAAACGUUAGCGUUGCCAUGGAUACAUGAGUGUUAAAUUCUGUCCAUGUUUCCAUUUUGGGAAAUUCAGUCCAGCAGAUGAGUUUGUUUUUACUGCCAGCUACCAUUCAGUCUGAGAUAUUAAGAAUAAAUAAAUAUGCAUAAUGUGGAAAUGAACAGAUUUUAUUUUUAUUUAUUCCUACAGCUGCUGCAUUUAAAGUUCCAGAAUGUGGAGGAAUUUAGGAUCACAAUCACAGACAACAAAUAUUAUAUGAAAGUCAGGUUGUUGUUGUUUAUCAGCACAAUACAAAAAGAUUCAUGUUAGAAAUAUUCCAGUUAAGACUCUAGAAUAUCAUGAUUUAUGUAAAUUUACCUCAAUAAUAUGAAUGUUCAGGUUAAGAUUGUACAGUGAUAUUUAUUAUGUAAGUUUAGCUGAUUAAAGUUUAUGACUCUGCACUAAAAUAUUAUUUAAACUGACAUCAUUAUUAUAAUAUUUAGGGUCAGACCCUACAGUAUUGAGAUUAAGAAAUCAAAUAUUCUAUAAAAUGUAAAUACACUGAACUCAUUUGGAUGUAUUUAAGUGAGACUCUACAAUAUUAUUUGACACAAAUCUAUCUAAAUCAAAAUUUGAAUCAUUUUUACUCCAAACAUUUACUGGACUGAUUUAAAUAUUAAAAUCACUCCUUUCUAAUCCUCUGCUGUACGUUCAAACCUGAGGCCUUAAAUAGAAACACACAAGUAUCUGAUUGAAGGAACUUCUGCAGAGUCCUGGUUCCAGAACAUGAUGAUAGAAUUAUAGACAAACUUUAACAAAAGCUGCCUGAGAGUUUACAGCUUUUUAUGUUGGAUUUCUUCAGUAAUUUAAUGACAGUUAUCAGCAAAAAUCAAUGUUCAUUUGAUGAACUUCAUUUCUAAAAACAUCCAGAAUUGGAGCUCAUAUCUUUGGCAGCUGUAAAGUUUCUGCUCCUUCAAAGUUCACAACACAAUGAAUGAAUUCCUAAAACACUCUCAAUGCUGGAGAGCGUUUGAUGCUGAAGCAGUGACCAGUUUUUCUGUUUCUUCUCUGGAGAUGCACAAUGAGGGACGUCUGCAGAGACUGAGAAAGAGUCUCACCACAUCCUGACAUGAGGAAAAAGACUUUAUUGAAGACUACAAUGAGAAAAACUAUCAGACAGCAGACGGCUGCAUUCAAGUCUGUAGCUGCUGAAUUCAUGGAUGAAUCAUCUGGCACUAGAGAGGAAGACCAUCAAACAUCCACGUCAGCUGAUGGAGGUCCAAGAGUCUCACCAAACAACCUACAGAUUUAGGCUGUUAGAUUGUUCCAGAUAAGACAAGUACAAGAUACUUCAGAGCCGUUCUACCACGAGCCUGACAGGAAGAACUCCAACAGCUACUGAAUGUUCCUGUGGUUCCCUCAAGGCUACAGGAGGAGUCCUACGAGGACGAGCCGGUCCACCUGAUGGAGGCCAGUCGCUGCGGUUCAAAGCCAACACGGACUACGUGGACUUCUACUGGACCACACGGAGGCCUUCAAACC
ensembl:lncRNA